rnacentral:rRNA from 1 species
UACGGAGGGUGCAAGCGUUGUUCGGAAUCACUGGGCGUAAAGGGCGUGUAGGCGGCCCGCUAAGUCUGAUGUGAAAUCCCCUCGCUCAACGAGGGAACUGCGUCGGAAACUGGCGGACUCGAGUACCGGAGAGGAAGGUGUAAUUCCCGGUGUAGCGGUGGAAUGCGUAGAUAUCGGGAGGAACACCGGUGGCGAAGGCGGCCUUCUGGACGGAUACUGACGCUGAUACGCGAAAGCGUGGGGAGCAAACAGG